rnacentral:rRNA from 1 species
AGAACGAACGCUGGCGGCGCGUUUAAGCAGUGCAAGUCGAGCGGCAAGGGCCUUCGGGCCCUAGAGCGGCGGACGGGUGAGUAACACGUGGACAAUCUGCCCCCCGGCCCGGGAUAGCCCAGGGAAACCUGGAUUAAUACCGGAUGAGACGGGACCCGCGAUGGCGGGAUCCGGGAAAGGCGCUGCGGCGCCGCCGGGGGAUGAGUCUGCGUCCCAUUAGCUAGACGGCGGGGUAACGGCCCACCGUGGCGACGAUGGGUAGCCGGCCUGAGAGGGUGGACGGCCACAUUGGAACUGAGACACGGUCCAGACUCCUACGGGAGGCAGCAGCUAAGAAUCUUCCGCAAUGGGCGAAAGCCUGACGGGAAGCGACGCCGCGUGAACGAAGAAGGCCGUGAGGUUGUAAAGUUCUUUUCGGGAGGGGGAACAACCGUGGCAGGGAAUGGCCGCGGGAUGACGUGAAUCCCGGAAUAAGCCCCGGCUAACUACGUGCCAGCCGCCGC